rnacentral:lncRNA from 1 species
UCAGAACAAUGUGGUUUCAAUCUAUUCUUAGAAGCAGGCAGGAGGCAGCAGUUACAAGAGUUUUUUCCUGUUGAAGGAAACCAUUUGCAUAGGAUCAAGAGGCUUUUCUCCCCAGGCACGUUCCUCUCCCUGCACUUAAGCUGUUUUCUUCCUUUCUUCACCAUGUCAGGAGUUCUCAUAGUCUGCAAAUAUCGGGAGCUUUUCUAUGUGAGAGUUGGUUUCUUUCCCCUUUUGGAAGUCAUCUUACUAAGCCAGGACCCCAAUUUAUGGGCUUCCUCUUCUCUCUCUUGUUUGAGGAGAAUCCAGUUCCAAAGCUUCACCUUAGCAUUCAGUUUAUGAUAAGGAGGGACACCUGGGACUUAAUGAGUCCAUGCACUCUCCUGAGGCACAUUUGUCCCAAAUUCAAUGUCAAGCUUCUGGUUGAAGCCCUAGAAAGAAAAACUUCAUGCAAGGGAUCCAGAGGCAGAUGACAGCAGAAGUCAAGGGGCACAGCAGAGGUACUCUCAAACACACGUUUCUGAUAACUUUGGAGAUUGUGACAUUGGAAUAGAGGAAAAACGUACAGGACAAAUGAAGAGCUAAAAUGUUCAUGAAUAUCAAGCAGAACAAGAGAUAACAGAAUGGACUGAACUUACAGAAAACUAAAGUAAUCCUUUUUAACUUUUUGCUUUAAACAUUGUUGAUCCUUUGUUUUUCAACGUGAGGAAAACCUUUAUAUUGAGUUCAUUACAGCUUUUAACAAUUGAGUAAGGUAUACUUCUGUGAACAAGAUUUGGAGCAUAUUUGUUUCUCUCUGCCUGGUUUCUCCAAAAUUUGGAAGCUAUAUCAGCAAGAUACAAUUGAAGAAACUAGUGGUUUUACCAAAGCUUUCACUGGAAUGCUGGAAGGGUGUGCUUCCCUUUCAGGAACCAAGCUUCACUUCUCAAGCCAAUAAAAGCCCCUUGGGAAAACUGGCAUCAUACCUUGUCUACACAGUCCCUGUACAGAUUUCCUAACAGGUGAUAAGUAAAGAUUGUAACUUUCUCACGGGCCCAGGUGCCCCAAGUUCUCUUGGAUCCUCAAGAAAAAAGAAAUGUAUCCAACUCAUAGGUAUUUGAGGGUACAAACCCAUGGCCGGGCUGGGCUUUAAAAAAUUUUAUCUGAGAUUCCAGUGGUGUUCCAGCAAAGCCAAUUUUUUAAAAGCCUGUGUGAAAAUAAUGAUUCUUGAUGCUCUUUAUGCAAAUAAUCAGGUCAAGGAUAAGACUAAAGUUUAUUUUGCAAACAACUCAGACCUAUUAUGAUUUGUCUUUAAGAAAAAUGAAUACUGGAGAGAGAAAAAUUACAUUUCAAAAUUUAUCAUAAAUGUGUCAUUAAAAUCUAGUCUCAUUAGCAUUUUUUAAGCUUUUGUCUGCAUUUUAGACUGAACUUGCUUAUACCUGUGAACCAACCAGGGAUUUCUGGCUGCAGCUCAGAAGGAACAAAAGGGAUGUCUAAUGUAAAAAUCUGGAUUAAUAUUCUAAUUCUGGGCAAUUAUCUUGCAAAUUCUGCCAGGUGAUGAGGGUAAACCCAUAACCUGGAGAUUACUAUGUUUGGGAAAAUAAGACCAAACAAGCUGACCAAAGCAAAGCUCCAGGCACCCAAGUCUUAGCAGGUAACUGGGCAUGCUGGCAUCCUCAGGAUUUUUGAACUGUCCUUACCCCUUGUUCCAUGUCAAUCCAUGUUUUUUAAUUACUCAGUUUGUCUCUUCUAGCCUUCAGUCCAUCAAAUUCAAAUGGUCAUGCAACCAGAACAUUGGAUGAUCGCUCUCUUCUACCAAGGACCCUUAGAUAGGCCUCCAAGGGAGAUCUGACUGCUGUCUUCCCAAAACAGUGUACCCUGUCAGCAAAAAGUAGUUAAGAUCGGUCAUGAUCCUUAUCCCAAUGGCAGUUAGAUGUACCACUUCAUAGGAAGGAAUUGAUAGCAGCAGGAGCCAGGCAAAUGCCUAGGCAGAUAGGGUCAGGUCCCACGUGAAACCCCAACUUCAAGCAGAAGGCAGUUUAAAGCCUGGCUAAAAGUCCCAGGUAAAUCCACAGACCAGUGGAGAUUGUCUUCCCAUUUGGUGUACUUUCCUCUGAUCCCUACUCUUCACCUAUUUUACAUAUUCCUACCCUUUCCUAGUUGGUUUUCUACACUGCUGUGCCCACCUUUGAGUGAUGCCUUUGCUUUAGCCUUUCUUUGCAUACUCACCACCAAUCAGCACACACCCCCCUAUUCUAAGCCCUUAAAAGCCCUGAACUCAGCCAUGCUGGGAGAGAAACCACCUGAUGGUGGGAGUGGAGAACCACCUCCUGCAUCCCCUCUCCACUGAGAACUGUUCUAUUGCUCAAUAAAAUUCUUCUCCGCCCAUCCUCAUCCUUCAAUUGUCAGUGUAUCCUCAUUCUUCUUGGAUGCAGGACAGGAGUCUGGGAACCACUGAACGUGGGUACAAGCUGUAGCACAGGCAGGUCAAGUGGGUGGGGCACCUCCAGUGGCAGCCCAGGGCCAAGUGAGGCUGAACUCAGCUACAAGCUGUAGCACAGGCAGGUCGAGUGGGUGGGGCACCUCCAGUGGCCAAACGAGGCCCAGGAGGGACAAUGUUGCUGGUCUUUGAGGUCCUGUGUUCGCAAAAUGACCUAGAAAAAUCCUGU